rnacentral:rRNA from 1 species
UCCAGACUCCUACGGGAGGCAGCAGUGGGGAAUUUUGGACAAUGGGCGCAAGCCUGAUCCAGCUAUUCCGCGUGUGGGAUGACGGCCCUCGGGUUGUAAACCACUUUAGUAGAGAACGAAAAGGAGCUAUCGAAUAAAUAGCUCUGCUGACGGUACUCUAAGAAUAAGCACCGGCUAGCUACGUGCCAGCAGCCGCGGUAAUACGGGGGGUGCAAGCGUUGUCCGGAAUCAUUGGGCGUAAAGAGUUCGUAGGCGGCACGUAAAGUCUGGUGUUAAAGGCAGAGGCUCAACUUCUGUACGGCACUGGAUACUUGCGAGCUAGAAUGCGGUAGAGGUAAAGGGAAUUCCUGGUGUAGCGGUGAAAUGCUUAGAUAUCAGGAGGAACAUCGGUGGCGUAAGCGCUUUACUGGGCCGUAAUUGACGCUGAGGAACGAAAGCCAGGGUAGCAAAUGGGAUUAGAUACCCUGGUAAG